rnacentral:tRNA from 1 species
AAAGAUUUAGUUAAAACGUAUAACCUAAAUUUGUCAAAUUUAAAUUAAUUUCAAUUUUAAAAUUAAUCUUUA